AGCGAACGCUGGCGGCAGGCUUAACACAUGCAAGUCGAACGGGCAUCUUCGGAUGUCAGUGGCAGACGGGUGAGUAACACGUGGGAACGUACCCUUCGGUUCGGAAUAACUCAGGGAAACUUGAGCUAUACCGGAUACGCCCUUUUGGGGAAAGGUUUACUGCCGAAGGAUCGGCCCGCGUCUGAUUAGCUUGUUGGUGGGGUAACGGCCUACCAAGGCGACGAUCAGUAGCUGGUCUGAGAGGAUGAUCAGCCACACUGGGACUGAGACACGGCCCAGACUCCUACGGGAGGCAGCAGUGGGGAAUAUUGGACAAUGGGCGCAAGCCUGAUCCAGCCAUGCCGCGUGAGUGAUGAAGGCCUUAGGGUUGUAAAGCUCUUUUGUCCGGGACGAUAAUGACGGUACCGGAAGAAUAAGCCCCGGCUAACUUCGUG
rnacentral:rRNA from 1 species